CAGGGGGCGCUGGCGGCGGCUCCGGGCGGAGACAAUCGCGCUGAGCGGCCGCCGCAGCCAGAGCGGGAGCCCGAGCCGCGCGGAGCUGGGGCUGAGCGGGGCCGGCCGAGCGGGGCCGGGCGGGAGCCAUGGGCCGCUAGGGCCGGGCCGAGCCCCGCGAUGCCGCCGCCGAGUGGCCCCAGCGUCCUCACGCGGCUCCUACCGCUGCUGGGGCUGCUGCUCGGCGGCGCCUCCCGCGCUCCGGGCAAGUCGCCGCCGGAGCCCCCCAGCCCGCAGGAGGUCCUGAUCAAGGUCCAGGUGUAUGUGAGCGGGGAGCUGGCGCCUUUGGCCCAGGCCUCAGUGGAUGUGUUUGGGAAUCGUAUGCUGCUGGCUGCUGGCACCACGGACUCAGAGGGCGUGGCCACACUGCCCCUCAGUUACCGCUUGGGCACCUGGGUGCUGGUCACUGCUGCCCGCCCUGGCUUCCUCACCAACUCCGUGCCCUGGCGCGUUGACAAGCUGCCCUUGUAUGCGUCAGUCAGCCUCUACCUGCUCCCCGAGCGGCCGGCCACCCUCAUCCUCUAUGAGGACCUGGUGCACAUCCUCUUGGGUUCUCCUGGUGCCCGCUCUCAGCCCUGGGUGCAGUUCCAACGGCAGGCUGCCCGCCUGCCUGUCAGCUCCACCUACAGCCAGCUCUGGGCCUCGCUCACACCUGCCAGCACCCAGCAGGAAAUGCGGGCUUUCCCUGCCUUCCUGGGCACCGAGGCCUCCAGCUCAGGCAAUGGCUCCUGGCUGGAGCUGAUGCCCCUGGCUGCCGUGAGCGUGCACCUGCUGACAGGCAAUGGAACAGAAGUACCACUCUCGGGCCCCAUUCACCUGUCUCUGCCUGUGCCCUCGGAGCCUCGCGCCCUGGCUGUGGGCACCAGCAUUCCAGCCUGGAGGUUUGACCCCAAGAGUGGGCUGUGGGUACGCAACGGCACCGGUGUGAUCCGGAAGGAAGGCCGGCAGCUCUACUGGACCUUUGUCUCCCCCCAGCUGGGGUACUGGGCGGCUGCCAUGGCCUCCCCCACGACUGGGCUGGUCACCAUCACAACAGGCAUCCAGGACAUCGGCACCUACCAUACCAUCUUCCUGCUCACCAUCCUGGCAGCCCUGGCACUGCUGGUGCUCAUUCUGCUGUGUCUGCUCAUCUACUAUUGCCGGAGGCGCUGCCUGAAGCCCAGGCAACAGCACCGCAAGCUGCAGCUCUCCGGGCCCUCCGAGGGCAACAAACGAGACCAGGCCACCUCGAUGUCCCAGCUCCAUCUCAUCUGUGGGGGGCCCCUGGAGCCCACCCCGUCGGGGGACCCCGAGGCGCCUCCUCCCGGCCCCCUCCACUCCGCCUUCUCCAGCUCCCGCGACUUGGCCGCCUCCCGGGAUGACUUCUUCCGCGCCAAGCCGCGCUCCGUCUGCCGCCCGGCCGCCGAGCCUGCAGGUGCCCGCGGGGGCGAGGGCUCCGGGCAGAAGGGCGCCCGCUCCGUCGAGGGCCCGGGCGGGCUGGAGCCAGGCCUGGAGGAGUACCGACGGGGGCCCUCCCGGGCCACGGCCUUCCUGCCGGAGCCGCCCUCGCCGCCGCCGCCCUUCGAGCACUACCUGGGCCACAAGGGGGCGGCCGAGAGCAAGACGCCCGACUUCCUGCUGUCGCAGUCGGUGGACCAGCUGGCGCGGCCGCCGUCGCUCAGCCAGGCGGGGCAGCUCAUCUUCUGCGGCUCCAUCGACCACCUCAAGGACAGCGUCUACCGCAACGUCAUGCCCACCCUGGUGAUCCCCGCGCACUACGUGCGCCUGGGCGGCGAGGCGGGAGCCGCGGGGGCGGGCGACGAGCCCCUCCCGCCCGAGGGCACGGCCCCCGGGCCCGCACGCCCUUUCCCCCAGCCCGACUCCCAGCGCCCGCUCAUGCCCGGUCACUCGGGCGAGGGCGGCGAGGGCGGCGGCGGCGGCGGCGAGGGCUGGGGCGGCGGGCGCUCGGCGCCGGUCAGCGGCUCGGUCACCAUCCCCGUGCUGUUCAACGAGUCCACCAUGGCGCAGCUCAACGGGGAGCUGCAGGCGCUGACCGAGAAGAAGCUGCUCGAACUGGGCGUGAAGCCGCACCCGCGCGCCUGGUUCGUGUCCCUGGACGGGCGCUCCAACUCGCAGGUGCGUCACUCCUACAUCGACCUGCAGGCGGGCGGCGGCCGCAGCACGGACGCCAGCCUGGACUCGGGCGUCGACGUGCACGAGGCGCGGCCCGCGCGCCGGCGGCCCCUGCGCGAGGAGCGGGAGCGGGAGCGGGAGCGCGCGCCGCCCGCCGCCCCGCCGCCGCCGCCGCCCGCGGCCCCGCGCCUGGCGCUCAGCGAGGACACGGAGCCCAGCAGCAGCGAGAGCCGCACGGGCCUCUGCUCUCCCGAGGACAACUCGCUGACGCCGCUGCUGGACGAGGUGGCGGCGCCCGAGGGCCGAGCGGCCACGGUGCCCCGGGGUCGCGGCCGCAGCCGCGGGGACAGCUCCCGCAGCAGCGCCAGCGAGCUCCGGCGCGACUCGCUCACCAGCCCCGAGGACGAGCUGGGGGCGGAGGCGGGCGACGACGCGGGCGACAAGAAGAGCCCUUGGCAGCGGCGGGAGGAGCGGCCGCUGAUGGUGUUCAACGUCAAAUAGCGCCGCCUCCGGACCCGGCACCGCCCGCGGGUCUGGCUCCGCCCCGCCCCGCCCGCCCGCCCGGGCCUGUCCCCGGGGUGCGCACCCCAAGGGAGUUGCGGGGGCACUCGCUUUGAAAGGUGCCCAGAGGCCUGCAGAGCUGUUCAGUGGUGGCGCCCCCCAACUCUGAGUGUCAGAAGCAAGAGAUUCCCAACAUUUGAACUAACCCAACCUCGAGGCGCGUGAGCAAGGAAAAAAGUGGCUGAGAGGCGGAAGUUAGCUUGUCCUACCCGACAAGAAAGGAAGUAAGACAGAGCCAGACGUAACCACUCCCAAGCCCUUGGAGGAAGCCAAGCUCUCCAGACUCACUUCCAAUCCUCUGAGCUCCGGGACUAGGAAGGGCGACCCUCCCGUUCCCAGGCGCCGUGGAGACGACCGACCUACCUACCUACCUACCUACCACCACCGCAACCAGACGGGGGAGGCGGAGUCGGCUCAAAAACAGAGCAGUCCCUGCUUUGCGGGAAGGGGCUGCAGCCCGCGGGAACGCGAGAAGGUAGAGAAAGAGCGUCCCUUCUAAUGGGGGGUCACUGCCAUUCUGCUUAGAUUGCCACCCUUCAAAACACUCCCUCCAGUGCAUCGCAAACCCCCAAAGACGACACUCUGAGCGUCUUCUCUUGCCUCCCGAAUUGAACUCCGGAGGAACCUCAAGCACCCACGUCCCUGUGGCCGGGGCCUUGGAAAAGAGCGGGCGAGAGGUCUGCACUGCCGACCGCCUUACCUGCGUCCUGCUCCGCGCUCGCUGGGCAGCAGCAACCCCGCUGCUCACUGAGCCGGGCCUGGCAGCGCGAUGCCCCGCCCACCUCAGUUUCCAUUGGCCAGGCGUCCGGGCUGUCGAGCUCCCGUUGGCUACUCGUCGAUGUAGAGGCGGGGCCAUCCUGGAAGGCCGUGCUUCUUUUCUACUCAAUUCACUCCCUCCCCCUUUUCUAGGGAUCAUGUGAUUGGAGAAUCAUGUGAUGGGCGCCCUGGCUUGCUCUUUGCCUGGUGGUUUGCCCGAGGUGAGCCAGCGCCCGUCUGCAGACAUUGGCAGCCCAAGGAGCUGCCCCUUCGAGUGUGCGUUUAAGGGCGUUUGCGGGAUGUUCGCUUCUGGAUUUGGGACGCUUGUCCAUCCUGUUUCUAGUCUAUUCAACAAACUCAGAUUGAACUUUGGGCUGAAAGAGAGUUGUGAGGGCAAGGAUAAACCACUCGGCCCUUUCCCCAGGGUGCUCACCGAGGCCAUGGGGUGUCGGAGGGAGACAGACUCAGAUUCUACCUAAUUUAAGGUACACGGUCGUGUGCCAAGUGCACGGUGUGUGUAGGGAAACGGUAGCAGGUUAGCUCUAAGCGGGAAGAAGAGAUUUAAUUCCACCUUGGGGGCACCUUUUUGAGCUGAUCUGGGAAGGUUUGAACGCAGGUGGGAUAAGUUGGAUGGGAUUGUUGGAAAGAGCAUUAGGAAACGGGACGGAAAGGGCAGCCUUGGGCAAGGCUUGAAUGCCAAGUUCAAUGCAGUGGGGCUUGAAGAGUUGCUGGGUGCCUGGUACAAGGCCAGGCAGGGGGAUGGAUGCAGAGUGGGAGUGGUUUUGUGGUUUCAGGUAGCGCUGCCUUCCAGGAAUUGACAUGGCUGGUGAGGAGAGAGAGAUGUACCACACAGAACAGGUUAGCCAACAAUAGGAACCAGACUGUUCGGUGCCAAAGGGCCUAGCCCAGGCAGAGGCUGGUGAUGGGGGACACAGCAGGAGAGAGGAGAGGCCCAGAGGAAGCCUGGUGCUGAGCCGUGGAGGAAGGAAUGGAGAGUGCUGUAGGCUAAGCCAAGAGCUUGAGCUGAGGGUGAGACUGGGGUAGGGACAAAUCCAAGUCUGGGUAGGGAAGGAGCGGCUGGGUUGGGGAAUGGUGUGGCAGUGGUGCUCAGCCCGGGGCUCGCGAGGGACCAGACAGUGGAUAAAGCUCCUGAGAACCGGGACUAUUCUGCACACUGGUGAUAUUAGGGGCAAAAACAGAAUAUUGGUGGCUAGCUAUAGUUAUAAGAAAUAUUAAUUAUGCUCUUCUGUUCACCAAGAUGGCCUUGUUCUGAUUAAAGAAAGGACAUUCUAACCUGGCUGGAAGUUGUACGCCCCCGGGACUCAGGUGUCAACCUGGGACCUCGCAGUCAACCUUGGACCCGAGUCAACCUUGGAAUGCGGUCCAUUCUCAUUCAAGAACUGCCUAUUUGCUCAGCCGGCAUCACUCAUCAUUGAUGUUUCUAUCUCUCUCCUCCUCCCUUCCUCUCCAAAAUCAAUUAAAUAUAUACAGAUAUUUUUUAAAUGGAUGCAGUGAACCUCCACUUCCUUGGAGGGUGUAUAGGGCCCCUGAAGACUGCAGAACCUCCCCCUAUUCCUCAAGAAACACUGCAGUAUCCUUACACCCUCCAAUUCAGGAAUCUCUCUAUCUUUUUCUGCUUUUUGCUUUUAAGGAGGGAGAAUCAUUUUGUGAUCGGGGAAGCAAAACAAAAACAAAACAAACAAACAAAAAGAACCAAAGUUCCAGAGCCACACAGAGAUGUGCCCUGUUCGCUGAGCCCUCCCAGCCGCCUUCACCAGGCCUUGUGAUUUUUAAUGGUGACAAAGUCAAUUGACUGUAAAUGUGACGGCUUAUUUCUGACUCUCCGUUCUAUUCCACUAAACCCGGUGUCUGUCCUUACGUCAGUUCUACACUGUCUUGAUUACUAUAGCUUUGUAGCAAGUUUUGAAAUUGGGAGAAGUAGGAGUGCUCCAACUUCUUUUUCAAUAUAUAUAUUUUUUAUUAUUAAUUCUGAGUCCCUCGAAUUUCUAUGUGAAUUUUAGGAUCAGUUCCUGCAAAGGAGACAGUUGAGAUUUUGAUAGGGAAUGCACUGAAUCUAUAGGUCAAUUUGAGGUGCAUUGCCAUCUUAACAAUAUUAAGUCUCCCUAUCCAUGAACAUGGGAUGUCUUUCCAUUUAUUUGUUUCUUUAUGACAGUUGUCAAGAAUUUCAUGCUAUAAAUGUUUUAUAGUUUCCUUAAUAAGUAUCAUGGAAUGAGCUUUUAUGUGUUUCCACUUUUUUAAGUUUUUCUUUUUUCUUAAAUAUAUUUUUAUUGAUUUCAGAGAGGAAAGGAGAAGGGAGAGAGAGAAACAUCAAUGAUGAGAAACAUUGAUCAACUGCCUACUGCACACCCCACACCGGGGAUUGAACAUGCAAUCUGGGCAUGUGCCCUGACUGGGAAUUGAACUGUGACCUCCUGGCUCAGCCACUGAGCAACACCAGCUGGACUGUGUUUCCAGUUUUUUGAAGUUACCAAUAAUUAUGCAAUGAAUAUUUGUGAACAGGUAUCUGAGUGCACGUGGUGGGGUUAAAUGCCUAAAUGUAACAUCGCUGGGUAAAGGGUCUGCAUAUUUGAAAUGUUUAUGACAAAUUCCCUUAAAAUUUUCCAACUUACACUCUCAGUCAUGGUGUUUGAGGGGCACUUAUUUCCCAUUUACUUGCCAACUUUGGAUAUGCCAGUUUAAUUUUUUUUUUUUUUUUUUUAGCCAAUCUGUCGAAGAUAUUCCCUGGUUGUUUUAUCAGCAUCUCCUUGAUCUCUAGGGAAGCUGAGUAUUUGUGCGUAUACUUAUUCUGUUUAUAUAUUUCUUCUGUGAAUUGCCUGUUCUUAUCUGCAUUAGUCAGGGUUCUCCAGAGAAACAGAACUAAUUGCUUGUGUACGUAGAAAGAGAUUUAUUAAAAGGAAUGGACUCACAUGAUUAUGGAAGCUAGCAAGUCCAAAAUCUUUGGGGUAAACCAGCAGGCUAGAGACUCAGGGGAGCAGAUGGUGCAGAUGAAGUCCAAAGGCAGUCGCUGAAAAAUUUCCUCUUGCUUAGAGAAGCCAGUUUUUUUUCUAUUCAGCCCUUCAACUAAUUGGAGAUGGCCCACAUUAUGGUGGGCAAUUUGCUUCGGACAAAAUUUAUCUCUUUAAAUAUUCAUCUCAUCCAAAAACACCCAAAAAGUUGACAGAUAAAACGAUCUCCUUAUCCUUUGUUCAUUUUUCUACAGUUUGUCUUUUUCUUAUUGAACUGUGGAAGUUCUUUAUACAUGCUGGAUAUUAUAUAUGUUACAGAU